rnacentral:lncRNA from 7 species
GCCGGGGCAGGAAGUGCUUGCCGGCGGCGGAGAGCAGUUCCGGGGCAGCGCGGCAUGGCGGCGCGAGGCCGGUGAGCGGGGCCGGGAGGAGCGGGCUGUGUCCUGGGCACGGGCUCGGGGCUCGGGGCUCGGGGCGGGGGCAUGGAGGGGCUCUCGGGGGAGGAGCUCGUGGUGCUGCCGGCACGCACGCAGAGGCGAGGCGUGCGGUGCGGUGCGGUGCGGUGCGAGCGAGUGGUGCUUGUAGGAGCUGAGCUGGAUGCUGUGGCAGGCAGCUCCCAAUGAAUAUCUUGGCCCCCACAGCCACUGCGGGCUGUGCUCUGCUGGCUUGGCACCGGGAGGACAGCCCCGAUGAGUGGGCACGGACGCAGCCACGGUUGGCAAGAAGGACAAGCGGGUGCUGUCCUAGCAGUGUCUUCCCACAAGGAUCAAGCUUCCUGCGUAUGGCCGUAGCACCCCUGAUGCUCUCGGCAGGCACGGCAGCCUGUGGCCCGCAUCAGGUAAUGUUGGAAUCCCAGCAUGGGACCGCACAUGGGAAGAGGCACUGGAUGCUGAAAUGGAAGCCAUGGCUUCUGUCUCGCAGGAGGCAGGCGUAGUCAGAGUGUCGGGGAGCAGAGUGUGAGUGGCUGCGCAAUGGAGUUGGCACUCAGGCGAGCAACACGUGACUGUGCCACAAACUUCCCGUGUGGCCAUUGCAAGGUAGGCAUGCCUUACUGUAAGCGUGCGCUGAGGCAGUGUUGGUUAAGCACAGCUCAUUGCCUGUCUCCAACAGUGCUGCUCUGCUGCUUUAUUGCUCGGUUGGC